rnacentral:rRNA from 1 species
UACGGAGGGUGCGAGCGUUAAUCGGAAUAACUGGGCGUAAAGGGCACGCAGGCGGGCUUUUAAGUGAGAUGUGAAAUCCCCGGGCUUAACCUGGGAACUGCAUUUCAGACUGGGAGUCUAGAGUGCUUUAGGGGGGGGUGGAAUUCCGCGUGUAGCGGUGAAAUGCGUAGAUAUGUGGAGGAAUACCGAUGGCGAAGGCAGCUCCUUGGAAAGGUACUGACGCUGAGGUGCGAAAGCGUGGGGAGCAAACAGG